rnacentral:misc_RNA from 1 species
UGUUCGCGCUUUUUCGUUUCAAUUUACAAUUUGAACACACAAAUGACAAAAGCCGUAAAACAAAGCGGCAUAAUACGCUUAAAAGCCAGGGUAUGCGAUCUGGAGCGUACCCUACUGGGCGGGCAAAGUUUUCGCUGGCGCAAGUUGUGCGCCGAGCCCAAAGUCAAAUAUUGCGGCGUCGCCUUGAACACCUACUGGGUGCUGAUGCCCGAGGACGAGCACAUUGCCUAUGAAGCACAUGCAACGGGCACCCAGAGUGAACACAAUUUCGGCUCAUUGUUGAGCAAAUAUCUGCGCGCCGAUUUCGAUUUGGAGUCGGAGCAGGCCGGCUGGAUGCAAGCGGAUGCGCACUUUGGCAAAUUUGUGAGCAAGCCGGUGCGCAUGCUGUCACAGGAGCCGCUGGAGAACAUUGUUUGCUUCAUGUGCAGCCAAAACAACAAUAUAAAACGGAUAUCCGCCAUGAUUCAAUGGUUUUGCGCCGCCUACGGACACAAAAUUGGACACUUUCAUGGCCGGGAUGAGUACACGUUUCCCACACUCAAAGCGCUUAGCGAACGCAGCUGCAGCGAGCUGGAUGCGGAGCUGCGUGCCGCCAAGUUUGGCUAUCGUGCCAAGUUCAUAGCCCGUUCGCUGUCGCAGAUUGAGACGCUUGGCGGCAACGACUGGUUCGAGCAGCUGCGUCAGUUGCCCUACGCUGAGGCGCGCGAGGCUUUGGUACAGCUGCCCGGCAUUGGCUACAAGGUGGCCGAUUGCAUUUGCCUUAUGUCGCUGGGACAUCUGGAGGCGGUGCCCAUUGAUACGCACAUUUUUAAGCUAGCACAGCGCCAUUACCUGCCCCAUCUGGCCAGCCAGAAGAGUGUGACCAGCAAAAUCUAUGCUGAGGUGGCGCAGCAUUUUCAGCAGCUGCAUGGCAAAUAUGCCGGCUGGGCGCAAACGGUUCUAUUCUGUGCGGACUUGCCGCAGUUUCAGGAUAGGUCCCAACAAGAAGCCAAGCCUAAGAAGCGCAAAAAAUGAUUUAAUUAGAUUUUUUUUUAUGUACAUCAUGUGUAUGGAUCUGUGCUCGAUAGCUGCAUUAAAAGCGGAACAGAGCCUUUAAUGCAAAAAGGAAGUGUUAUAUCUGUUUUUCAGUUAAUGCAAAAAGGAAGUGUGUCUGUGUGUGCUUUUAUAUUUUUCUCAAUUUU